rnacentral:rRNA from 1 species
AUUGAACGCUGGCGGCAUGCCUUACACAUGCAAGUCGAACGGUAACAGGUCUUCGGAUGCUGACGAGUGGCGAACGGGUGAGUAAUACAUCGGAACGUGCCUAGUAGUGGGGGAUAACUGCUCGAAAGAGUGGCUAAUACCGCAUGAGAUCUACGGAUGAAAGCAGGGGAUCGAAAGACCUUGUGCUACUAGAGCGGCCGAUGGCAGAUUAGGUAGUUGGUGGGAUAAAAGCUUACCAAGCCGACGAUCUGUAGCUGGUCUGAGAGGACGAUCAGCCACACUGGGACUGAGACACGGCCCAGACUCCUACGGGAGGCAGCAGUGGGGAAUUUUGGACAAUGGGCGAAGGCCUGAUCCAGCAAUGCCGCGUGCAGGAUGAAGGCCUUCGGGUUGUAAACUGCUUUUGUACGGAACGAAAAGCCCUGGGUUAAUACCCUGGGGUCAUGACGGUACCGUAAGAAUAAGCACCGGCUAACUACGUGCCAGCAGCCGCAGUAAGAC